rnacentral:rRNA from 1 species
CAGCAGCCGCGGGAAUACGAACCGUGCGAACGUUAUUCGGAAUCACUGGGCUUAAAGCGCGUGUAGGCGGGAGGGCACGUCCGUCGCUGAAAUCCCCCGGCUCAACCGGGGAACGGGCGCGGAUACGACUCUUCUGGAGGAACGUAGGGGGACCUGGAACUUCCGGUGGAGCGGUGAAAUGCGUUGAGAUCGGAAGGAACGCCCGUGGCGAAAGCGAGGUCCUGGACGUUGACUGACGCUGAGACGCGAAAGCGUGGGGAGCAAACAGGAUUAGAUACCCCGGUAGUCCCUGUCUUUAUAC